GGGGGUUCAGUUUCUCCCUCUUGCCGAACUUACUAAUUCUCUUGAAAUGAGCGACUUUAAGGAACACCCGAUCGUCUUUCUUAAAUUCUAAAUCCUUCCUCCAGGUGUCUGCGUAACUCUUUUAUCUGCUUUGAGCCAUCUGGGUGUUAUUUCUGAUCUUAACUAUUUUGGAUGUAGUCUCCUCUACCAGAUCUAGGCUGAACAAUUUUCUAUCACCCACUUCUUCCCAACAAAUCGGUGAUUUGAAUGGGCGCCCAUAUAAUGUUUCACACGGAGCCACGCAAUACUCAUUUGGUAGCUGUUGUUGUAGGCAAACUCUAUCAGGGGUAGAUGGUCAUCCCAAUGGCCCCCGAAGUUAAGG
rnacentral:lncRNA from 1 species